rnacentral:rRNA from 1 species
UCAUCAUGGCCCUUACGGCAGGGGCUACACACGUGCUACAAUGGUCGGUACAAAGGGUUGCUACACAGCGAUGUGAUGCUAAUCUCAAAAAGCCGAUCGUAGUCCGGAUUGGAGUCUGCAACUCGACUCCAUGAAGUCGGAAUCGCUAGUAAUCGCGGAUCAGAAUGCCGCGGUGAAUACGUUCCCGGGCCUUGUACACACCGCCCGUCACACCAUGGGAGUUUGUUGCACCAGAAGUAGGUAGUCUAACCGCAAGGAGGACGCUUACCACGGUGUGGCCGAUGACUGGGGUGAAGUCGUAACAAGGUAGCCGUAGGGGAA